rnacentral:rRNA from 1 species
GUGAGGAAUUUUCCGCAAUGGGCGAAAGCCUGACGGAGCAAUGCCGCGUGAAGGAUGAAGGCCUAUGGGUUGUAAACUUCUUUUCUCAGAAAAGAAUUAUGACGGUAUCUGAGGAAUAAGCAUCGGCUAACUCUGUGCCAGCAGCCGCGGUAAGACAGAGGAUGCAAGCGUUAUCCGGAAUGAUUGGGCGUAAAGCGUCUGUAGGUUGUUUAAAAAGUAUUCUGUCAAAGAUUAGGGCUUAACCCUAGAUAGGCAGAAUAAACUUUUAAGCUAGAGUUUGGUAGAGGCAGAGGGAAUUCCCGGUGGAGCGGUGAAAUGCGUAGAUAUCGGGAGGAACACCAAAGGCGAAGGCACUCUGCUGGGCCAAUACUAACACUGAGAGACGAAAGCGAGGGGAGCAAAUGGGAUUAGAAACCCGGGCAGUCC